AACAAACGCUGGCGGCGUGCCUAACACAUGCAAGUCGUACGAGAAAGGGUCCUUCGGGGCCUGAGUAAAGUGGCGCACGGGUGAGUAACGCGUGGAUAAUCUGCCCUUCAGUUGGGAAUAACUCAUCGAAAGGUGGGCUAAUACCGAAUAAUGCUGUGAGACCUCGGUUGAUCAGCCAAAGAGAGCCUCUGCUUGCAAGCCCUCGCUGAAGGAUGACUCCGCGUACCAUGAGCUAGUUGGUAGGGUAAUGGCCUACCAGGGCGACGAUGGUUAGCUGGUCUGAGAGGAUGAUCAGCCACACUGGAACUGAGACACGGUCCAGACUCCUACGGGAGGCAGCAGUGAGGAAUCUUGCGCAAUGGGGGCAACCCUGACGCAGCAACGCCGCGUGAGUGAGGAAGGUCUUCGGAUCGUAAAGCUCUGUCGGAUGGAAAGAACCGCAUAGGGGUAAACAGCCCCUGUGUCUGACGGUACCAUCAAAGGAAGCACCGGCUAACUCCGUGCCAGCCGCCGCCGUAACAC
rnacentral:rRNA from 1 species